AUAUUACAGCAACCUGCAGAACCCAAGUAGUGCUAGUGGGAUAUAGAGAAGCUAUGGAAAUAAAAACUUGUAUUAAAAAUGAACUUCUGCACUCAGAGUCUCAAGUGGGCAAGAGCAAUGGCUGCUUUGCAAAACAGCAAUGGAGGGUAAGGCUGCCUCUAACUCUGGGGAUAAUUGUCAUGGAAACUACAAGUGAAGCAGCACAUAACACAAGUAGGUAUGAAAAAGGUAGCUGAAAAUAGCUGCUCUGGCAUAUUUCUUUGCAAAGGUUCUAGACAUUAAAAGGCAACUGAAUAAACAGCUUAGUAAUUUUAGAUGUUCUUGGAAAAUGGAUGUUAAAGGGAAAAAUGGGGCAAACCACAAAACUGUGGCUCAGGGAACACUCCAGGAAAAAAAAAAUCUCAGAGAGAAAAAUGAGUGCAAGUAUGACUCCUACAAGAUUUACAAUACACAUAAGUACAGAUGUAUAGACAGACAGAUAAACUAAUGCAUGUCUGUGUGAUUACACAGAGCACACAGUGCAUAUUUUUAACUACACAGAGUGUGCAUACAUAUAUAGGUGUAUACACAAUAUAUAUACACUAUUGGAAAAAAAAUAUUGAAAAGCAAAGGCAGCACAAAUGAAAUCCUUCCUGCAUCCAACUGAAGAUGAGAGGGUUUCUCAGAGGUUAACUUGACUGAAGUCCAAGGCCUAGAACAGGAAAGCAAGUUGUCUGAUGAGUUGGACCAGUGUCUAAAUGGCAUCUGCCCAAGGAUGGCUGUGACCAGAGAACACACAGAGAGGGUGAGAUCCAGCACCCGACAGCAGAAUGGAUUUGUGCCAGAGAGCCUCCAGCCGACGGGGAGGCAGUUGGCAAUUCCCAGCAAACAGAGAUGGCCACAGACCAGACACCUUCGACUGUGCUCAAAAAAGCAGCAAACUGCAUUUCACAAAGUGCCUCUUCCUUGCUCCAAGGAACACCUCCCUGUGCCAGACGGAUGGUGGCACAUCCAGGAAUAUUCUUCCAGCCAAAACUGCCGGUACAAGGAGCUGCAAGCACAGGGGAAGGAGCAGGGGUGCCAGUCCGGAAAGCGGAGCAGCAGGUACAGCCUCCUGUAAUGGUGCUGGGAAUGACGGGGCAGGAUUCAGUGUGAACACAGAGGAAAGCAAGUGAGAUGUGGAGGUACUGUCAUGCAGGCCACACUAGAAAAACAUUAAAAGGGUUGUUUAUGCACCUGGAGAGGAAUUAAUUGUGUUGUAACAGAGAAAAGUGUUAGCUGGAAGAAGCUAAGAGGAGCAGCAGAAUAUAUGUUACACCACCCAGCAGUACUUGUGGCUGACUGGGGCCAGGAUAAUCCCACCCCAGUUCUUGUGCCACGCUGGAAUAAACAGUGAAUUGACCAGGAAAAAUCCUGCAACAGCAAAUAGUAUAUAUAUGCCCUAGUAAGUGCCAAUCAGUGUGUUUCAGCAGGCAAGACAAAAAGAGUUCAAGGCUCGCAGGCUACCAUCUCCCAUGGACCCUCCUUUCUGCAUUGUAACAGGCGAGCUGGAACACAGGAUCUGAAACAAAAGGCUCAAGCAUAAAACAUUUGUGUGUGUGUGUGUGUGUAUUUACACAUCUCCAUAAAUGCCAUUUCAGUAUCUCUUGGUUUGAUGAUGGGACAGACACUGAGCAGGAUUUCACUUCCCUGUGCCAGCGUUCCCCACUCCCCGUUACAGCCAUUUCACCCAGGAGCUGUCACUUGCUGCAUGUCUUCAUGGCACCAAAUCCUCUGGGUUCUCACCUGUUCAGAAAGAGCCUCUCCCCCGAGGUUUCCUGAGGCAAUGGUGUUAAAUAUAUCCAGCCUCAGGCAGCAGAAUGCCUGCACCCAGGGCAGCCAGGGGUGUGGAGCAAAGGAAGAGGCUCCUCCACUGCCCCUACCUGUCAGUUUGAUUUCUCAUGGCCAUUACACAUUAAUAGCUUUUCAGAUCUCUAAGUAAUGAUGCAGGAGCCCUCUCUUCCCAGGGUAAUAAACUCCCCCAACAUGUCUGUUUGUUGGAGCACCCUGACUCUCAUUCUGCAAAAGACUUAAUUUGGCCACUUAUGUAAAAUGUUGUCCUUCAAAACAAGGAUUUACUGAUUUGAAAAUAUGCAAGGGAAGAAAAGACACUAAUUGCUGUUAAAAAAAAACUUGGCUGAUCAGAUGCAAUUGGUAACCUGGAAAGGAUGAUAAAAGAAUAUCAGAGAGGUUCAAGAGACGCAGAAAUCCCACUCCAAGGCAUUUUUCUAGCUGUUUUUAUGCUGGUACCAGGGCUUGUUUAACACCAGCCAGCCUGUGGAGCUGUGCUAGCAGAGAGCUCGACCCUGUGCUUUUCAUUCCCUGCUGACACAGACUGUAGUUUCUGAGAGCCAGACUUCCUGAGACAACAGCCAUACCUAUGCCAACAAUAAUUACCUAGGAAAACAGGCAACUUCUAGGAGCUUAUUCAGAAGAAAUCAAUGCCUAACACUUGUAUGCUUAUUCAGUGCCACUGUGAGUAUUGCUGUCAACACUUCCACUACUGAAGGGCGAAGAAUGAAGCCAGACGUGAUUUAAGUGCCAUCUUUUCCCAAGUUCAGUUAAACCAGCCCUGCAAAUGAAACAAAUGCACUGGCCUUGAAGAUGCCUGAGGAUGACAGCGAGGUAUGAAAGCGUAAUUGGUAUUGCUGAGGUGAGCCUGCAGCUCACAGCGUGGUGGCUGCACACAAAGAGCUUUUUGUUAGAGCAUGGACAGGUCCAACAGCUCCCAGGGCCCUUCAUGCCUCCUGCAAUGGGAAUUAAAGUCACUCAGCAGCACUGGGUCCAAUCCUGGGUCCUGCUGCAGAUCCUGAUCUGCUGGCAGAGGAUGCUCACAGUGCCAGCGUGGUCCCUGUCUCUGAAGCCCGGGAGAGCCAAGAGGGCUCCUUUCCUCCUUGGAGAAGAAAGGAAAGGGGAGCACUCUGUGACCUGCUGCUGGGAAGUGCCACAUACCCUGAGGGAUGGGAGCUUCUCCCUUUAUGGGCUGGGAGAGAGGAGCCCCUGCACUCAGCAGGGCUGGACAAGCAGAGGGACUGGUGGCAGAUAAAGUCCCCGGCUCCCUUGAUGACACUGGCAAGCAAAAUACUUGGCUCCUGACAGUGCCAUAACAAGUAUGUUACACAUCCCUGCCAGCAGCAAAGUGGUGUCUGCCUGGACACAGGGGUCUGCAAACCAGGCAGUGGCUGGGGAGGGGACACAGCAGGUUCUGGGUGGUCUGUGGCCCUGCAGAAGGCUGGCAGUGCCCAAAGAUUUCAGUCAACAUUCAGCAAUAGCAGGGCUUCACUUGGCACCCUGAGGGGGGAAAACAGCCCAGCAAAGCACUCAGAAGGCAGAGACUCCGAGCAGCUCCUGCUCUGAAACACUGGCACCUUGUGGCAGCUCAGCUCCAGACGGACACACUGUGUCUGGCUGUCCUGCUGGACAUCGGGGUGGCCUGGGCACGGCUCCAAGAGCCAGGACACAGGCAGGAGCGACAUCACACAGAUGCAUAAAAAGCCACCUUGCUCUGGAUGGCAUUUAAUAACUAACAGCUGCUACUGGGGAAGGAGGAGAUCUGGAAAUCUGUAGUUGCACUUCCAGCCCUGUUUGUGACCUCCCACAGCUACAAAAAUAGUAAUGAGGAGAGUGGCAUCACUUGGGAUGCCCAUGACCACUGUGUGGGGCACUGACCACACAAGAUGUGUCCAACCCAGGGAACUGCAAGGAGCAAACAAAGCUCUUGAUGCGUGUGAGCAUCACCAGGGCAGGGUGAGCUCUGGACCCCGCCUGCAGCACAGCCACACUGUCACUCCCAAGAAACAUCUUGGAGCCAUCACAGGGCUCCUCACUGCCCUGAUGCAUCUUGUAAGGAAAUAAACAAUCAUUUGAGA